AAGAAUGCUCAAUUCCACUAUGAUGCUAAAAUGAUGUCAUCUGUGUUGGGCAUCAGCAUUGUGACAACCAGACGUCAUGCAUAUGAUAAAUGGGCGAUAUUUCAAACUGCCUGGCUGCUAUGCUGAAGACCAAGGAGAUUCUUAAUGCAGCCAAUGACAGGGAUAAAUAAUCUAAGAAGAAAAAGAAGACAAAUCUAUGUCCCUUCAUCGUAUAUUCUAAUAGACAUCAGUGACCAAUUAAAAGAACCAUGCCAGUGGCUAUGACUCUAGACAGAGAACAAAGGAGCAGUCCACGAGCUCCACGGGUUUACAGAAGUCUGUCCGUCACAUUGUCAAUCUUCCGGAUCGUUAUUCAAGUUGCUAUCCCCAAUUUCACUGGCCAUAUCAGAUCUACUCCAACGCCAUAGGUGAACAAUGCACUUUCUUCCUAUUUUUAAAGAUGGUGAAGUGCUAAAUUGGCAAAUAUUAUAAGGACACCCCGAAAGUGUGCUGUUACUAUGGCAAUAAAAAGAAGAGCUGAUAUCUAAAAUCUUUUUGGCAAAAUUCCAUUUCUCUAUGUGAAAUUUUUUAGUUCCCUGC